AUUAUUUCAAUAUUUUGACUUAUCUAGUGCUGUAAGAGCAAGGGUAGACUGAUUGCUUUUUUCCUUUGGCUUUUUUUCUUUUUCCUAAUAGUUUGUCUCUAACACUUGUGAGCCGCGUUCUGCAGAGCAGCUGGGUGCUGCACAGCCGUGCGGCAGUGGGAGCUGUGGGCUGCCCUGCCUGGCGCCUGGCCAUCGCCUGCCCCGUGCUGCUGCCUGCCCGGGGCCGGGGCAGCCCGGGGCCUGGGCAGCCCGGGGCCUGGGCAGCCCGGGGCCAUUAGCUCAGAUGCCUUUGAGCAGGAAUGGCAGCUGCCAGGGGCACCACGCUGUGAGGGCGGCUGCUCUUGGAAGCUGGCACUUAUAGCCUCACACAUAAGGAGUCAACUUGCAUUUCUGUGUCCCUAAGUUUUUAUUACGCUGAAGGGAUGAUAAAAGCCUAUCAUCUCUUGGAAAUGAAAUGACACAGGAAGUACGAAGCAAAGCAUUAACAGUGAAGGUAUCAUCUGCUCCAGAUUUGACAAGGUGGCAAAAUGCUGCAAUGGAAGAGAAUCUCAAGAUAAAAUAUUUAGGCAGAGCAGAGAUCAGUGGCUUCCUCUCUAGCACCAGCUAUGUUGAGACCGCGCCAGGUAGUGGAGAAAAGUCAAUGCCAACAACAUAACCAAUUCUGUGAGACUCCAUCAGUCCCAAGGAAAUUCAGCUUUUUAAAAUGAUUGUGAAAGGGACAG
ensembl:lncRNA